rnacentral:rRNA from 1 species
CGCGUAGGCGGUUUGCUUAGUUAGGCGUGAAAUUCCUGGGCUCAACCUGGGGACUGCGUUUAAUACAGGCAGACUUGAGUUUGGAAGAGGGUCGUGGAAUUCCCAGUGUAGAGGUGAAAUUCGUAGAUAUUGGGAAGAACACCGGUGGCGAAGGCGGCGACCUGGUCCGAUACUGACGCUGAGGCGCGAAAGCGUGGGGAGCAAACAGGAUUAGAUACCCUGGUAGUCCACGCCGUAAACGAUGUGUGCUGGAUGUUGGGUGACCUAGUCACUCAGUGUCGUAGCUAACGCGAUGAGCACACCGCCUGGGGAGUACGGCCGCAAGGUUGAA